AGUGGGAUAGCUGGGUCAAAUGGUGGUUCCAUUACAAGUUUUCUAAGCAAUAUACUGCUUUGCAUAUUGGCUGCACCAAUUUGCAGUCCCACCAGCAAU
rnacentral:pre_miRNA from 1 species